rnacentral:tRNA from 1 species
GCCUAUGUAGCUCAGUUGAUAGAGCACUUCACUCGUAAUGAAGAGGUCGCCGGUUUGAUCCCGGUCAUAGGCU